CGUACUUGUUGUACCCUCAGACAGACGUACUUGUUGUACCCUCAGACAGACGUACUUGUACCCUCAGACAAACGUACUUGUUGUACCCUCAGACAGACGUACUUGUUGUACCCUCAGACAGACGUACUGAUUGUACCCUCAGACAGACGUACUUGUUGUACCCUCAGACAGACGUACUUGUUGACCCUCAGACAGAGGUACUUGUUGUACCCUCAGACAGAGGUACUUGUUGUACCCUCAGACAGACGUACUUGUUGUACCCUCAGACAGACGUACUGAUUGUACCCUCAGACAGAGGUACUUGUUGACCCUCAGACAGACUUACUUGUACCCUCAG